GAUGAAGCUGGCGGCGUGCUUUAUGCAUGCAAGUCGAACGAGAAGGGAAGGACUUCGGUCCGACCUGGAGAGUGGCGAACGGGUGAGUAACACGUGAGUGACCUGCCCCGAGGUGGGGGACAACCGUGGGAAACCACGGCUAAUACCCCGUCGUCCUGUGCGCACUGGUCGCGUACAGGUAUAGCUCCGGCGCCUUGGGAGGGGCUCGCGGUCGAUUAGCUAGUUGGUGGGGUAACGGCCUACCAAGGCGACGAUCGAUAGCUGGUCUGAGAGGACGAUCAGCCACACUGGGACUGAGAUACGGCCCAGACUCCUACGGGGGGCAGCAGCAAGGAAUAUUGGACAAUGGGCGCAAGCCUGAUCCAGCAACGCCGCGUGGAGGAAGAAGGCUUCGGUUGUAAACUCCUUUUGUGAGGGAUGAGACAAGGACAGUACCUCGCGAAUAAGUCACGGCUAACUAGGUGCCAGCAGCCGCGGUAAC
rnacentral:rRNA from 1 species